UGACAACCUACAAUUCCCUAUAGACGGAAAAAGAAAAUGAGAGAUUUUGAAAUACUUAAAAACACAAUGCAAAUUUUAAACUACAUUAAACCAGUUCCAUCAAGAAAUACACCCUUGUUCUUGGCUUCCAAUAAGAUCAUAAAACUCUAUGUAAAAUAGGCUUUCGUCCACAAACAUUUUCUUUUCCACCUGCUUUCCCGGAGACCAAACAUCGACUCUGAUCACAACUUCCCUCCACUCAGUUAUAAUUGCACCACAAAACAAAAUUGAUUGAAAAAAGGGAAACAAAAGUCUAC
rnacentral:misc_RNA from 1 species